ACAGCUGGGUGGGACAGAAAAUUUCGCUACCCUGCCUUCUACCCGCCCGAGGGCGCAGGCUCUUUCCGGGGUGCUGUGGCGGCUGCAGCAAGUGGAGGAAAAGAUUCUCCAGGAAUCUAUGCGAAAGUCAUUUCCCCUUAACCUGGGAGGCAGCGACACAUGUUACUUCUGUAAGAAACGUGUGUACGUGAUGGAACGGCUGAGCGCCGAGGGCCACUUCUUCCACCGGGAGUGUUUCCGCUGCAGCAUCUGUGCCACCACCUUGCGCCUGGCCGCCUACACCUUUGACUGCGAUGAAGGCAAAUUUUACUGCAAGCCUCACUUCAUUCACUGUAAAACCAAUAGCAAACAACGGAAGAGACGGGCAGAGUUGAAGCAACAAAGAGAGGAGGAGGCAACAUGGCAAGAGCAGGAAGCCCCUCGGAGAGACACUCCCACCGAAAGUUCUUGCGCAGUGGCCGCCAUUGGCACCCCAGAAGGCAGCCCCCCAGGUAUCUCCACCUCCUUCUUUAGGAAGGUGCUGGGCUGGCCCCUCA
rnacentral:sRNA from 1 species